GAUGAACGCUGGCGGCGUGCCUAAUACAUGCAAGUCGAGCGAACAGACGAGGAGCUUGCUCCUCUGACGUUAGCGGCGGACGGGUGAGUAACACGUGGAUAACCUACCUAUAAGACUGGGAUAACUUCGGGAAACCGGAGCUAAUACCGGAUAAUAUAUUGAACCGCAUGGUUCAAUAGUGAAAGACGGUUUUGCUGUCACUUAUAGAUGGAUCCGCGCCGCAUUAGCUAGUUGGUAAGGUAACGGCUUACCAAGGCAACGAUGCGUAGCCGACCUGAGAGGGUGAUCGGCCACACUGGAACUGAGACACGGUCCAGACUCCUACGGGAGGCAGCAGUAGGGAAUCUUCCGCAAUGGGCGAAGGCUUGACGGAGCAACGCCACGUGAGUGAUGAAGGUCUUCGGAUCGUAAAACUCUGUUAUUAGGGAAGAACAAAUGUGUAAGUAACUAUGCACGUCUUGACGGUACCUAAUCAGAAAGCCACGGCUAACUACGUG
rnacentral:rRNA from 1 species